rnacentral:rRNA from 1 species
UACGAAGGGGGCUAGCGUUGCUCGGAUUUAUUGGGCGUAAAGGGCGCGUAGGCGGUCACGCACGUCCGUUGUGAAAUCGCUCGGCUCAACUGGGCGGGGUCAGCGGAUACGGUGCGGCUGGAGCAAGCUAGGGGGCAAUGGAAUUCCCGGUGUAGUGGUGGAAUGCGUAGAUAUCGGGAGGAACACCAGUGGCGAAGGCGGUUGCCUGGAGCUUUGCUGACGCUGAUGCGCGAAAGCGUGGGGAGCGAUCCGG